AAUAGUUUUAUGCCACAUCAGUACUCUUAUCCUGAAUUCAGAAUUUUAUCUUGAAAAAAAUCAAAUCCAAAUUAAAAUACUAAAAUUCAGGAUAAAAAUAUUGAUGUGACAUAAAACUAUU
rnacentral:pre_miRNA from 1 species